rnacentral:rRNA from 1 species
ACUCCUACGGGAGGCAGCAGUGGGGAAUCUUGGACAAUGGGGGCGAACCCUGAUCCAGCCAUGCCGCGUGAGUGAUGAAGGCCUUAGGUCGUAAAGCUCUUUCGCCUGUGAAGAUAAUGACGGUAGCAGGUAAAGAAACCCCGGCUAACUCCGUGCCAGCAGCCGCGGUAAUACGGAGGGGUUAGCGUUGUUCGGAAUUACUGGGGCGUAAAGCGCACGUAGGCGGAUCGGAAAGUUGGGGGUGAAAUCCCGGGGCUCAACCCCGGAACGGCCUCCAAAACUAUCGGUCUAGAGUUCGAGAGAGGUGAGUGGAAUUCCGAGUGUAGAGGUGAAAUUCGUAGAUAUUCGGAGGAACACCAGUGGCGAAGGCGGCUCACUGGCUCGAUACUGACGCUGAGGUGCGAAAGUGUGGGGAGCAAACAGGAUUAGAUACCCUGGUAGGACAGUG